rnacentral:rRNA from 1 species
UACGGAGGGUGCAAGCGUUAUCCGGAUUCACUGGGUUUAAAGGGUGCGUAGGCGGUUUAUUAAGUCAGUGGUGAAAGCCUGUGGCUCAACCAUGGAAUUGCCAUUGAAACUGAUAAACUUGAGUAUAGUUGAAGUGGGCGGAAUACAUCAUGUAGCGGUGAAAUGCUUAGAUAUGAUGUAGAACACCAAUUGCGAAGGCAGCUCGCUAAACUAUCACUGACGCUGAGGCACGAAAGCGUGGGUAGCGAACAGG